CCCGCUGAACUUAAGCAUAUCAAUAAGCGGAGGAAAAGAAACUAACAAGGAUUCCCCUAGUAACUGCGAGUGAAGCGGGAAAAGCUCAAAUUUAAAAUCUGGCGGUCUUUCAGCCGUCCGAGUUGUAAUCUGGAGAAGCGUUUAUCCGCGUUGGACCGUGUACAAGUCUUCUGGAAGGGAGCGUCAUAGAGGGUGAGAAUCCCGUCUUUGACACGGACUACCAAUGCUUUUGUGAUGCGCUCUCGAAGAGUCGAGUUGUUUGGGAAUGCAGCUCAAAAUGGGUGGUAAAUUCCAUCUAAAGCUAAAUAUUGGCGAGAGACCGAUAGCGAACAAGUACCGUGAGGGAAAGAUGAAAAGCACUUUGGAAAGAGAGUUAAACAGUACGUGAAAUUGUUGAAAGGGAAACGUUUGAAGUCAGUCGCGUCGGCCGAGACUCAGCCUUGCUUCCGCUCGGUGCACUUCUCGGUUGACGGGUCAGCAUCAAUUUCGACCGCCGGAUAAUGGCAAGGGAAAGGUGGCACCUUUGCGGGUGUGUUAUAGUCUCAUGUCGCAUGUGAGGGGGGGGAUCGAGGAACUCAGCGCGCGCCUCUGGUGUCGGGGCUUUGGCCCACGUAACGUGCUUAGGAUGCUGGCGUAAUGGCUUUAAACGACCCGUCUUGAAACACGG
rnacentral:rRNA from 1 species